UUACGGGAGGCAGCAGUGGGGAAUUUUGGACAAUGGGGGAAACCCUGAUCCAGCCAUGCCGCGUGGGUGAAGAAGGCCUUCGGGUUGUAAAGCCCUUUCGGUGGGGACGAAACGGUGCGUGCUAACACCACGCACUACUGACGGUACCCACAGAAGAAGCACCGGCUAACUACGUGCCAGCAGCCGCGGUAAUACGUAGGGUGCAGGCGUUAAUCGGAAUUACUGGGCGUAAAGCGUGCGCAGGCGGUUUGCUAAGACAGGUGUGAAAUCCCCGAGCUUAACUUGGGAACUGCGCUUGUAACUGGCAAGCUAGAGUGUGGCAGAGGGGGGUGGAAUUCCACGUGUAGCAGUGAAAUGCGUAGAGAUGUGGAGGAACACCGAUGGCGAAGGCAGCCCCCUGGGCUAACACUGACGCUCAUGCACGAAAGCGUGGGGAGCAAACAGGAUUAGAUACCCCGGUAGG
rnacentral:rRNA from 1 species